UUAUUUUACCUUGUUGCUUCGGCGGGCCCGCCUUAACUGGCCGCCGGGGGGCUUACGCCCCCGGGCCCGCGCCCGCCGAAGACACCCUCGAACUCUGUCUGAAGAUUGUAGUCUGAGUGAAAAUAUAAAUUAUUUAAAACUUUCAACAACGGAUCUCUUGGUUCCGGCAUCGAUGAAGAACGCAGCGAAAUGCGAUACGUAAUGUGAAUUGCAAAUUCAGUGAAUCAUCGAGUCUUUGAACGCACAUUGCGCCCCCUGGUAUUCCGGGGGGCAUGCCUGUCCGAGCGUCAUUGCUGCCCUCAAGCACGGCUUGUGUGUUGGGCCCCGUCCUCCGAUCCCGGGGGACGGGCCCGAAAGGCAGCGGCGGCACCGCGUCCGGUCCUCGAGCGUAUGGGGCUUUGUCACCCGCUCUGUAGGCCCGGCCGGCGCUUGCCGAUCAACCCAAAUUUUUAUCCAGGUUGACCUCGGAUCAGGUAGGGAUACCCGCUGAACUUAAGCAUAUCAAAAGGCCGG
rnacentral:rRNA from 1 species